rfam:Freshwater sediment metagenome lwFormaldehyde_BCIB42125_g1, whole genome shotgun sequence.
CCUGAUGUUCAGCCAUCAGUGGCCUAUGGGCUGUGGCGGCCUCCGCAAGGGACCGUCUAGAGCGCCCGGACAAUGUACCCCUGCGCAAGCAGCGGAAUCUUUCUGUGAGGAAUGAUUCCGGAGUCUGCCAGCUACAACGCGGAUCAGGGU